GACGAACCGAGCGAACGUUGCUCGGAAUUAUUGGGCGUAAAGCGCACGUAGGCGGCUUGGCAAGUCGGAUGUGAAAUCCCUCGGCUCAACCAAGGAAGUGCAUCCGAAACUGCUGAGCUUGAGUACGAAAGAGGAUCGCGGAAUUCCCGGUGUAGAGGUGAAAUUCGUAGAUAUCGGGAGGAACACCAGUGGCGAAGGCGGCGAUCUGGGUCGAUACUGACGCUGAGGUGCGAAAGCGUGGGGAGCAAACAGG
rnacentral:rRNA from 1 species